rnacentral:RNase_P_RNA from 1 species
UUGUUGUAUUAGGUAAUCGCUGUGCUUCUUUAAACGGAGGUAUGGAGGAAAGUCCGAACACUUCCCUUUUUAUACGGUUGCAAAAUCGUAUACUGAGGGAGUCUGGUAGUGGGUAACGCCCAUCUAAUGCAAAUUAAGAGGUGCGAGCAGUGACGCAAUGUGUCGAAAGACAGUUGGGUCCAUGUAUUGAAUUUCAAUAUAUGGAUUAAUCCACAGAUAUCCAAAUGUGGAGUGAAACGGCAAAAUCCUUACCUGAGUGCAAGGCCGUGCUCCUAUCAAGCAUCAUGCGACUGACAUAGAGUCUGUCGGAAAUAUGCUGCUUGAUAGGUAGAGUGCCGCUCGAGGCUUUGAGUAAUCAAAGUCCCAGAUAAAUGAUUAUCGUGUAGUGUAUGUGAAUCUGUAAAAUGAGACACAUGCAUCGCAUACAGAAUUCGGCUUAUAGAUACAACAACACG